rnacentral:SRP_RNA from 1 species
CCGUGCAGCCGGGGAGUUAGCGGUGCCCUGUACCUGCAAUCCGCUAUAGCAGGGGUGAUAUUUUGCCCCGGGUACCGUCUUGCAGGGCAGUCCUGUCAAGGCGGAUGUUGAAAUCCGGGUCUUACGCAACAAAAAUCUAUGAAUCGUGUCAGGUUAGGAAUAAAGCAGCACUAAGUAGACGCUUUUGUGUGCCGUGAGGUAGCCUGGGUGGAGUUCGCGUGACAGAAAACGACUGUGAGCGGUAUUCAAAGCAAAAUGCACGG